rnacentral:rRNA from 1 species
AGGGCACACGGUGGAUGCCUUGGUGUUCAGGGCCGAUGAAGGACGUGGCAGGCUGCGAUAAGCCGUGGGGAGCUGCGAGCAGGUGUUGAUCCACGGAUUUCCGAAUGGGGAAACCCGGCGGGGGUAAUGCCUCGUCAUCUGACGGUGAACACAUAGCCGUCAAGAGGGUAAGCGAGGGAAUUGAACCAUCUUAGUACCUCGAGGAGAAGAAAUCAAUUGAGAUUCCCCAAGUAGCGGCGAGCGAACGGGGAACAGCCCAAACCGGGUUAGUGUUAGUAGUCUGCAGGCGCUGCUAGCCUGGGGUUGAGGACAUCAUAUACGCUGUCUGCAGAUGGCGUUGCAUACUGUUGCGAGGUUAGGAGAAUGGGACUGGAAAGCCCAGCCAUAGAGGGUGAAAGCCCCGUAUUCGGUUAAGCAGCAGAUGCAUUGGUGAUCCAGAGUACCACGGGGCACGUGAAAUCCUGUGGGAAGCAGGGAGGGCCACCUUCCAAGGCUAAACACCCUGAACGACCGAUAGUGAACGAGUACCGUGAGGGAAAGGUGAAAAGAACCGCGGGAGCGGAGUGAAAUAGAACCUGAAACCGUGUGCUUACAAGCCGUCGGAGUCCCGUGAGGGAUGACGGCGUGCCUUUUGGAGAAUGAGCCGGCGAGUUAUGGUGGGCAGCAAGGUUAAGGGCCGUUCGGUCCGGAGCCGUAGCGAAAGCGAGUCCUAACAGGGCGAUUGAGUUGUCUGCUGUAGACCCGAAACCGGGUGAUCUACCCAUGGCCAGGGUGAAGCGAGGGUAAGACCUCGUGAAGGCCCGAACCUCUCAACGGUGAAAAGUUGUAGGAUGAGCUGUGGGUAGGGGUGAAAUGCUAAUCGAACCCGGCAAUAGCUGGUUCUCCCCGAAAUAGCUUUAGGGCUAGCCUCACGUAAGAGCUGGUGGAGGUAGAGCACUGAUUGGGCAAGGGGCCCACCAAGGUUACCAACCCCAUUCAAACUCCGAAUGCCAUCAGUGAAGCGCGUGGGAGUCAGACUGCGGGGGAUAAGCUUCGUGGUCAAGAGGGAAACAGCCCAGACCGUCAAGUAAGGUCCCUAAGUGCGGACUAAGUGGGAAAGGAUGUCACGGUGUACAGACAGCCAGGAUGUUGGCUUAGAAGCAGCCAUUCAUUUAAAGAGUGCGUAAUAGCUCACUGGUCGAGUGCUGUGGCGCCGAAAAUCCAACGGGGCUAAAGUCCGCCACCGAACUUACGGAUUCGCUUUUCGAAGCGGAUGGUAGGGGAGCAUUCCCUGUGCGCAGAAGUUGUGCUGCGAGGCAUGGUGGAGCGCAGGGAAGAGAGAAUGCCGGCAUGAGUAACGAGAGAGCGGUGAGAAUCCGCUCCGCCGAAAGCCUAAGGUUUCCUGAGGAAGGCUCGUCCUCUCAGGGUAAGUCGGGACCUAAGCCGAGGCCGAAAGGCGUAGGCGAUGGACAACAGGUGGAGAUUCCUGUACCACCACGGAAUCGUUUGAGUGAUGGGGUGACGCAGAAGGGUAGGCACAGCGGGCAGUUGGAGGUCCGUCCAAGCGGAUAGGGUGAUGCUGGAGGCAAAUCCCCGGCAUCGAUAAGCCUGAGCCGUGAUGGGGAGCGAAGUUUAGUAGCGAACUGGCCGAUCCCACACUGCCGAGAAAAGCCUCUAGCGAGAUUCCUGGUGCCCGUACCGCAAACCGACACAGGUAGGCAGGGAGAGAAUCCCAAGGCGAGCGGGAUAACCCUUGUUAAGGAACUCGGCAAAUUGACCCCGUAACUUCGGGAGAAGGGGUGCCCGGGUCUGUGACCACCUUCGCGGUGGAAGCGGAUCUGGGUCGCAGAGAACAGGCCCAAGCGACUGUUUACCAAAAACACAGGUCCCUGCGAAAUCGUAAGAUGAAGUAUAGGGGCUGACGCCUGCCCGGUGCUGGAAGGUUAAGGGGAAGAGUUAGUCUUCGGGCGAAGCUCUGAACCAAAGCCCCAGUAAACGGCGGCCGUAACUAUAACGGUCCUAAGGUAGCGAAAUUCCUUGUCGGGUAAGUUCCGACCCGCACGAAUGGCGUAACGACUUGGGCGCUGUCUCAACAAGGGACCCGGUGAAAUUGCAGGACCGGUAAAGAUGCCGGUUACCCGCGACUGGACGGAAAGACCCCGUGGAGCUUUACUGCAACUUGGCAUUGGAGUUUGGUCUAUCAUGUACAGGAUAGGUGGGAGGCUGGGACGCCGGGACGCUAGUUUCGGCUGAGCCGCUGGUGGAAUACCACCCUUGAUAUGCGGAACUUCUAACCUUCACCGUCAUCCGGUGCGGGAACAGUGUCUGGUAGGCAGUUUGACUGGGGCGGUCGCCUCCCAAAAGGUAACGGAGGCGCCCAAAGGUUCCCUCAGCACGGUCGGAAAUCGUGCGCAGAGUGUAAAGGCACAAGGGAGCUUGACUGCGAGAGGGACACCUCGAGCAGGUGGGAAACCAGGGCUUAGUGAUCCUGCGGUCCUGAGUGGCAGGGCCGUCGCUUAACGGAUAAAAGUUACCCCGGGGAUAACAGGCUUAUCUCCCCCAAGAGUUCAUAUCGACGGGGAGGCUUGGCACCUCGAUGUCGGCUCAUCGCAUCCUGGGGCUGGAGCAGGUCCCAAGGGUAUGGCUGUUCGCCAUUUAAAGCGGUACGUGAGCUGGGUUCAGAACGUCGCGAGACAGUUCGGUCCCUAUCU